GUGUCAGCAGCCGCGGUAAUACAGAGGGUGCGAGCGUUAAUCGGAAUUACUGGGCGUAAAGCGCGCGUAGGCGGUUGGACAAGUCGAGUGUGAAAUCCCCGGGCUCAACCUGGGAGCUGCAUUCGAAACUGUUCGGCUAGAGUAUGGGAGAGGGAAGUGGAAUUUCAGGUGUAGCGGUGAAAUGCGUAGAUAUCUGAAGGAACAUCAGUGGCGAAAGCGACUUCCUGGACCAAUACUGACGCUCAGGUGCGAAAGCGUGGGGAGCAAACAGGAUUAGAAACCCUCGUAGUCC
rnacentral:rRNA from 1 species